rnacentral:rRNA from 1 species
UCCGGUGGCAAUAGCGAAGAGGUCAUAUACCCCUUCGGGGCACGAGAACCCUUUCAGGGCCCGUUCCCAUCCUACCCCUUCGGGGCACAGGCGAACACGGAAGUCAAGCUCUUCAGCGCUGAUGGUACUUGGGGUUACCCCCUGGGAGAGUAAGACGUUGCCGGAA